rnacentral:misc_RNA from 1 species
AGGGAUCAUUAAAGAGUGUAAUAACUCCCAAACCCAUGUGAACAUACCUCAUGUUGCCUCGGCAGGUCGCGCCCCCUCGUAGGCCCUACCCUGUAAGGCUUACCCGGAAGGCGCGGGUACUCCUGCCGGCGGCCCACGAAACUCUGUCUCAUCGUUGAAUUCUGAACCUAUAACUAAAUAAGUUAAAACUUUCAACAACGGAUCUCUUGGUUCUGGCAUCGAUGAAGAACGCAGCGAAAUGCGAUAAGUAAUGUGAAUUGCAGAAUUCAGUGAAUCAUCGAAUCUUUGAACGCACAUUGCGCCCAUUAGUAUUCUAGUGGGCAUGCCUGUUCGAGCGUCAUUUCAACCCUUAAGCCCUUGUUGCUUAGCGUUGGGAGCCUACGGCACCGUAGCUCCCCAAAGUCAGUGGUAGAGUCGGCUCACACUCUAGACGUAGUAAUUUCUCACCUCGCC